UACGUAGGGUGCAAGCGUUGUCCGGAAUUAUUGGGCGUAAAGAGCUCGUAGGCGGUCUGUCGCGUCGGCUGUGAAAACUCGGGGCUCAACCCCGAGCCUGCAGUCGAUACGGGCAGACUAGAGUGCUGUAGGGGAGACUGGAAUUCCUGGUGUAGCGGUGAAAUGCGCAGAUAUCCGGAAGAACACCAGUGGCGAAGGCGGCCCGCUGGGCAGUGGCUGACGCUGAGGCGCGACAGCGUGGGGGAGCAAACAGG
rnacentral:rRNA from 1 species